CUCCCUCUUUUCUUCUUGUUUUUAUUACUAUUUUUCUCCUUUUCUCCUCUUUCCGAAUGCUAUUUGGUAAGCUUUGAAUUGAGUUCCUAAAGGUUUGGACUAAAUACUAUUAGAAUAUAUGAAUUUUUUUUAAUAUGAUAAUAGUCCUGAUUAAUUUAUGAUUUUUUGUCAAAUUUAAUUAUUUUAAUACUUUUAUGUUCCCGAUUAAACUAUAUACGAUUUUCUUAUAUUUAAUCCUGAUUGUAAGACUAAUUAGUUUUAAUAUCUCUGUAGUCCUAAUUAAAAAAAAAAUCAUUAUGGAUAAUUGUAAAUAAAAUAAUUUCUUUAAAAAAUAUGGAUUUAUUGGUAAAUAUUUAAAUAUAUAAAAGGUAUUAUUUUUCUGUUUAAAUGCUCUCUCGUUCGACUCAGGAAUUGAGUUGAUGAGUGUACUAACAAAUGCAUAUAAGGAUUUUGUUUUAUGAUCUUGUCAAUGUGAAAAUGAAUACUAAAAUGUGCAACUAAAUAAUUUGAAUAAUGCAAUAGUUUUUUUUUUUUAAUGAAAAGAAUGAGGUAAAAUCGAUUGCAUACUUAAAAGGAUUCUUUUUCUAAUUAACUGACUGUUUAAUUAUACAACUAUAUAGCUAUCAUGUUUAAAUUCUAUCAAAAUCUAGUAAUGAGGACCUCAUCGAAAUGGAAAUACACAUUUAAAUUAUUUACCUAUACUGAAAUUUAAUGAUAAUUUCAGUGAUGAGGAAUGGAAACUUUUCAUUAGAAUGUACAUUAACUUGUCAUAUAUAUAUAUGUAAAUAGUUCUUUUUAUAUAUUAAUAAGUAAGAUAUUCAACAUGAAAUCAUAUAUUAUUUUAUUUUUAUAAAGAAAAAAAAUAAAAAAAUUGUUUACAAAAUUAAAUUAAUAUUUAUAAGAGAUAUAACGAA
rnacentral:lncRNA from 1 species